AGGAUGCUGGAGUAAAGGUUUCAUACGACCCGUCUUGAAACACGGACCAAGGAGUCUAACAUGCCUGCGAGUGUUUGGGUGGUCAAACCCGGGCGCGCAAUGAAAGUGAGGCCUUUUUUGGCCAGGGUGGGAGCUUUGGCGCACCAUCGUCCGACCAUGAUCUUCUGUGAAAGGUUUGAGACAGAGCACGCAUGCUGGGACCCGAAAGAUGGUGAACUAUGCCUGAGUAGGGUGAAGCCAGAGGAAACUCUGGUGGAGGCUCGUAGCGGUGCUGACGUGCAAAUCGCUCGUCGAACUUGGGUAUAGGGGCGAAAGACUAAUCGAACCAUCUAGUAGCUGGUUCCCUCCGAAGUUUCCCGCAGGAUAGCUGAAACUUGUACGAACAGUUUGAUCAGGUAAAGAAAUGAUUCGGGUAACGGUUCGCGAAACGCGGGCCGACCAGUCUCAAACUUUAAAUAGGUCAGAUCUCCGCGUUGCUUGAGUGAACGCGCGAGCCAUUUCGAAUGGAGAGUUUUUAGUGGGCCAUUUUUGGUAAGCAGAACUGGCGAUGCGGGAUGAACCGAAAGCCGGGUUAAGGUGCCCAAGUGCACGCUCAUUCAGACCCCAUAAAAGGUGUUGAUUCAUUUAGACAGCAGGACGGUGGCCAUGGAAGUCGGAAUCCGCUAAGGAGUGUGUAACAACUCACGGGCCGAAUGCACCAGCCCUGAAAAUGGAUGACGCUCAGCGAGGUGCUUAUACUGCGCCCUUGCCGCACGUGAUAGUAGCAUAGGUGGCAAGGUGUAGGAGGAGUGUGGCGGUGCACGCCGAAGCGCAGCGCGUGAGCGCGCGUCGAGUCGCCGCUAGUACAGAUCUUGGCUGAAGUAGCAAAUACUCAAGAGAGACGUACCUUGAGGGUUGAAGUGGAGAAGGGUUCCGCGAGAACAUCACUUGGUCGCGGGUGAGUCGGUCCUAAGGCGCAGGCGAACGCUGUUCAACGUGCGGGCCAUUCGUCGCGCGUGCCGCCGUGCACGCGCGCGCCGAACCCGCCGCGCGCCGAAAGGGAAGGCGGUUAACAUUCCGCCACCGCGUCACGGAGGUUCAUUGGCGGCGACGCAAGAGAACCCCGAGACGUCGCUCGCAGCCCCGGGGAGAGUUUUCUUUUCUUCUUAACGACCAUCACCACCACGGCGCGCGCCGUGCGCCAGCCGCGUUCACGCGCGGCGGCGCGGCGCGCGAGGAGCCGCGCGGAAUCGCAUUGUGCGGAGAAGCGCGGCGACGGUCGGCAGAGCGGCGCAGCCUUCGCGCCGUCCGGUGCGCUGCGAACGGCCCUUGAAAAUCGGGGGGAACGGUACCACCGGCGCCUCGCGCGCCGGCAAGCUUCCACACGGCCGUACCCAUAUCCGCAACAGGUCUCCAAGGUUCGCAGCCUCUAACCGAUAGAGCAAAGUAGGCAAGGGAAGUCGGCAAAUUGGUUCCGUAACUUUGGGAAAAGGAAUGGCUCUGAAGGCUGAGCCGGCGCGCGCGCCGUGCGCCGCCAGCGCUCGCGCGCGCGUCGCUCGCUACGGAGGCUGCUGCGCCGUUCACGCGGCACGGCGGCUUCUGCGGCGGCGACCGCGCGUUGCUGGCGUGCGCGCGGUGGCCGUGUGCUUGCACGCGGUGGCGCGUCGGCGUCUAACAGCCAGUUCAGAACUGUCGCGGACAAGGGGAAUCCGACUGUUUAAUUAAAACAAAGCAAAACGAGGGCCGGCAAGCGGUGUUGACGUUUUGUGAUUUCUGCCCAGUGCUCUGAAUGUCAAGGUGAAGAGAUUCGCUCAAGCGCGGGUAAACGGCGGGAGUAACUAUGACUCUCUUAAGGUAGCCAAAUGCCUCGUCAUCUAAUUAGUGACGCGCAUGAAUGGAUUAACGAGAUUCCCACUGUCCCUGUCUACGAUCUAGCGAAACAGCAGCCAAGGGAACGGACUUGGCAUAGACAGCGGGGAAAGAAGACCCUGUUGAGCUUGACUCUAGCCUGAAUUUGUGAAAUGAAUCGUGGGGCGUAGCAUAUGGGGGAGGGCGACCGACUUUGAAAUACCCCAACCCGCGAUUUCAUCUUACUUACUUGAUUACGUGAC
rnacentral:rRNA from 1 species